UCAAGUUUAAAGAAAAAGAAAUAAAGCUUUCAGGUAGCUGAAGAUCGAAUGUGGCCUACUCUAUCCAAUCUCACCUCUACCAGGAAAUGGUGUACUCCAAUCUAGAAAUUCCUUUUCUUUCUUUAACAGCUUCAUAAGGGCCUCUGGUGUAGUUUCUCGUGGUUUACUUAUUUAUUACCAUUAUUACUUCUUUUUUGGUCAGGGUCUCACUGUACAGUCCUGGCUAGCCUAUAACACAAUAUGUAGACUAGGCUGGCCUCAAACUCACAGAGAUCCACCUGACUCUGCCUCCCCAGUGUCUGGUAUGUUUUUAAAGCUCAUGCUGGCCACAUUGCUUUGUGAUGUCCUUCCAAACCAUCAUCUCACUGUGGUUCAUCACUGAUGAUGUCUAGAUGCUCUGGCAUCCCAUGGUCUGGGUUGGAGAUCUUGGUAGUUCAGGAUCAUAAUGGACAUUCUUGUGUACCUAAAGGAGAACUGUGGCACCAUGUGGCACAGAUGCAUCCACACUGGCUCCAAUAUGGAUGUCAGGCUCUGGUUAAUCUUCACUUCUCUGAUCAUCUGAGAGGACAGUCUAUUUGUGGCUGCAGCAGAAGCAGGAGCCGGCCUUACCUUGAAUGAGGGGAAUGUAACGAGCCAACAGCUUCGCCCUUUUCUUCUCGUAGCCUUUCUGAGUGAUGUCACCUAAAACAAGAAUGGGAAACGAGAAUUUCA